rnacentral:rRNA from 1 species
UACGUAGGGUGCGAGCGUUGUCCGGAAUUAUUGGGCGUAAAGGGCUCGUAGGCGGUCUGUCACGUCGGGAGUGAAAACUCGGGGCUUAACCCCGAGCCCUGCUUCCGAUACGGGCAGACUAGAGGUAUGCAGGGGAGAACGGAAUUCCUGGUGUAGCGGUGAAAUGCGCAGAUAUCAGGAGGAACACCAAUGGCGAAGGCAGCACUCUGGGACGUGACUGACGCUGAGACGCGAAAGCGUGGGGAGCAAACAGG